CCAGACUCCUACGGGAGGCAGCAGUAGGGAAUCUUCGGCAAUGGACGGAAGUCUGACCGAGCAACGCCGCGUGAGUGAAGAAGGUUUUCGGAUCGUAAAGCUCUGUUGUAAGAGAAGAACGAGUGUGAGAGUGGAAAGUUCACACUGUGACGGUAUCUUACCAGAAAGGGACGGCUAACUACGUGCCAGCAGCCGCGGUAAUACGUAGGUCCCGAGCGUUGUCCGGAUUUAUUGGGCGUAAAGCGAGCGCAGGCGGUUAGAUAAGUCUGAAGUUAAAGGCUGUGGCUUAACCAUAGUACGCUUUGGAAACUGUUUAACUUGAGUGCAAGAGGGGAGAGUGGAAUUCCAUGUGUAGCGGUGAAAUGCGUAGAUAUAUGGAGGAACACCGGUGGCGAAAGCGGCUCUCUGGCUUGUAACUGACGCUGAGGCUCGAAAGCGUGGGGAGCAAACAGGAUUAGAUACCCUGGUAGUCCACGCCGUAACGAUGAGUGCUAGGUGUUAGACCCUUUCCGGGGUUUAGUGCCGCAGCUAACGCAUUAAGCACUCCGCCUGGGGAGUACGACCGCAAGGUUGAAACUC
rnacentral:rRNA from 1 species